UGGGGGACAACGUUUCGAAAGGAACGCUAAUACCGCAUACGUCCUACGGGAGAAAGCAGGGGACCUUCGGGCCUUGCGCUAUCAGAUGAGCCUAGGUCGGAUUAGCUAGUUGGUGAGGUAAUGGCUCACCAAGGCGACGAUCCGUAACUGGUCUGAGAGGAUGAUCAGUCACACUGGAACUGAGACACGGUCCAGACUCCUACGGGAGGCAGCAGUGGGGAAUAUUGGACAAUGGGCGAAAGCCUGAUCCAGCCAUGCCGCGUGUGUGAAGAAGGUCUUCGGAUUGUAAAGCACUUUAAGUUGGGAGGAAGGGCAUUAACCUAAUACGUUAGUGUUUUGACGUUACCGACAGAAUAAGCACCGGCUAACUCUGUGCCAGCAGCCGCGGUAAUACAGAGGGUGCAAGCGUUAAUCGGAAUUACUGGGCGUAAAGCGCGCGUAGGUGGUUCGUUAAGUUGGAUGUGAAAGCCCCGGGCUCAACCUGGGAACUGCAUUCAAAACUGACGAGCUAGAGUAUGGUAGAGGGUGGUGGAAUUUCCUGUGUAGCGGUGAAAUGCGUA
rnacentral:rRNA from 3 species